rnacentral:snRNA from 1 species
UCCCACUUUUGUGGACUAUGAA